rnacentral:rRNA from 1 species
AGCAGCCGCGGUAAUUCCAGCUCCAAUAGCGUAUAUUAAAGUUGUUGCAGUUAAAAAGCUCGUAGUUGAAUUUCGGGAUUAGUACGUUGGUCGUGCCUUCGGUACGUACUGGUGUUACUGAUUCCUACCUUCUGACGAACCAUCAUGUCAUUAAUUUGGUGUGGCGGGGAAUCAAGACUGUUACUUUGAAAAAAUUAGAGUGUUUAAAGCAGGCUCGCGCUUGAAUACAUUAGCAUGGAAUAAUGAAAUAGGACGUUGACCCAAUCUUGUUGGUUUCUAGGAUUGACGUAAUGAUUAAUAGGGAUAGUUGGGGGCAUUAGUAUUCAAUUGUCAGAGGUGAAAUUCUUGGAUUUAUUGAAGACUAACUACUGCGAAAGCAUUUGCCAAGGAUGUUUUCAUUAAUCAAGAACGAAAGUUAGGGGAUCGAAGACGAUCAGAUACCGUCGUAGUCUUAACCAUAAACUAUGCCGACUAGGGAUCGGAUGAUGUUAUUUUUAAUGACUCA